AUCAUCGAAUCUUUGAACGCACAUUGCGCUCUCUGGUAUUCCGGAGAGCAUGCUUGUUUGAGUAUCAGUAAACACCUCAACUCCUUUAUUGUAGUUGGACUUGAGCUAUCCCAACAGGACUUUUUGUUCCUGGCGGGAGGCUUGAAAUGCAGGUGCAGCUGGACUUUCUUCUGAGCUAUAAGCAUAUUUAUUUAAUCCCUUAACACGGAUUAUUACCUUUUUGCUGCAGCUAACAUAAAGGUUGAAUUUCCAUUGAGCUGACUGAUGCAGGAAUUUGGCAAGGAAUUUUUUUAAUGACUUGUUAAACUCGAUCUCAAAUCAAGUAAGACUACCCGCUGAACUUAAGCAUAUCAAUAAGCGGAGGAAAAGAAACUAACAAGGAUCCCCUUAUAACGGCGAGUGAAGCGGGGUGAGCUCAAAUUUAAAAUCUGGCUGGUUUACUAGUCCGAAUUGUAGUUUAAAAAAGCGUUUUCGAUGGCAGCCUGGGUAUAAAUCCUUUGGAAUAGGGUAUCAUAGAGGGUGAGAAUCCCGUCUUUGACUCAGUGCAUGCCACUAUGUGAUACGUUUUCAAAGAGUCGAGUUGUUUGGGAAUGCAGCUCAAAAUGGGUGGUAAAUUUCAUCUAAGGCUAAAUGUUGGCGAGAGACCGAUAGCGAACAAGUACCGGGAGGGAAAGAUGAAAAGAACUUUGAAAAGAGAGUUAAACAGUGCGUGAAAUUGUUGAAAGGGAAACGUUUGACACCAGUCAUGCGGGUGGGAAAUCAGUCAAUUGCAGUGGGGAGUGGUGAAGGUUCGGACCGCAAGGCCGGCCUGCGUCUCAUCUCUGCUGUAAAUGAUGCACUUUUCCAUUCGCAGGUCAACAUCAGUUUCCUCUGCUGGACAAAACCCCGAGAGAAGGUAGCAGCUUUAGCUGUGUUAUAGCUCUGGGGCGAUACAGUGGAGGGGACUGAGGUUUUCGCAGUGUGUGCUUUCGGGCAAGGCUGACCGGGUGCUAUGGGAUCGUUCAGUGUACAAUGCAUGCAUUUUGCGCUGUGUCUUUUUCAUACUCGCCUGGCUCGGU
rnacentral:rRNA from 1 species